UUCUUUUUUAAAUUUUCUUUUCAUGAAAUGCUUUCACACUGUUAGGCAGAGAGUUGGCUCUGCAUCAGCCCUGCCUGAAAUUGUGUGUUGUGCUGGCUGCCAUCCAGGAAAGGAGAGAACAAUUUAAACACCUCUCCAUACAGUGACAAUUGAAAAAAAAAUUGGGAACUACUAAGCGAGUCUGCGAAGCGUGAGGGUCUUGUGGCUUAGUGGUUUCCUCAGUACUGACAACAAAUGUAAGGGAUCGGUUUCUUCCUAGCACUGUGUGUGUAGCAGCAGAAGUAGUAGGAAGCCCACAGAAUCAGAAGAAACUAACAUAUACCACAAACUUUGUCACUGAUGAGUCUCCCCAGAGAGUAUGAGAAAUACAGUGCUGCUAGAAGGAGGCUUGGGACUGUGAGAAAUGGCAUUGUGUUGUGAAGUUUGACUUGCGCUGUGUACAUCAGUAUGGGUUUUUGAGGUCGGGUCUGCAGCUGGUAUAAAUCAUGACAGUGAAAAGAAAUGUUGAUGCAAAUUUCCCUCGUAAUCUUUAAUUCAUUUUUCUAAAUCAUAUGGCAACUGCAAAGCAAUUUGUCUUCAUUAGCAUGAGGCAAAAACCCUAAACACUUGGAUAAUUUCAGUAAAAAACCCAAUGCAUCUUCAGAUGAAGAUAUAAUCUGGGUCCAGCUGCAAACCAUCCAACCCCAUCACCUUAAUGGAAAGUAGUCAGAAUUCAACAUCGCUAGCACCAAACACUGCAGCAGCAUUGGAUUUAAAGCCAAGUUGUCUUCUGCUCUUGCACUGGUGUAAAUUUGAGUCAUAUCCAAAGAAAUUAGCGGGGUUGCACUGUUUCCGCGCUGGGUGUAAGUGAAGAGACAGAUGGUCUCCACUGGAGUGUCUGGGCCUCUUCUACAGAAUCAUGAUUCCCUCUCUAAUAAGGGAUGGUGUCAGGUUAGGAUGGUUAUUUAUAAAUCCCUUUACCUACACAGCAGGGAGAUCUGUAGCCAGAUCUGUGUUGCAGACUUCUGUUGGCACAGCAAUAUCAGCCAGGGAUAUGGAAAGGUGUGAUCUCUGGCUAGUGGAGCCAGGCUAGGAAAAUCUAAUACAAAUGCAGUUACACCAAUGUAACUAUUAUAUAGUUAUAGGGUGACUUUCAGAAGGGUUGCCAAAUACAGUGGUUCUGCUGCUGUUAAGUUAUAUCCAGGUUAGGGAUGCUCUGCUGGCUGCAUAGGCCGAAAUAGUUACUCCAGCAAAAGGUCCUAUUAGUAUAGAUCAGAUAAAUAUCUUUUAAGACCUGCCUUCAUCACAGCAGUUAAUAAUUAGUAGGCUUUAGGCAAAUGGGGUAUCUGAAUUUUUCAGCAAACUGUGCAAGACAGGUUAAAGCUGCCAAAACCAGCCUGUGUGUCAUGGCACUUGUGAAGCAGUAAUUACAGUGCCCCCUUGCAAGCACAACGUGGAAGAAAAAAUUGUGUUUUACUCAUAAACUAGUAGGUUUCUGGGUUUUUUUUCUGUGGUGAUUGUUGUCAAGAGUUACUAAAAUACAUGAUGUAUAAUACCAAGGGAAGUAGAAAUGUUUUUCAGGGAUUUAAAAGCAUAACACAGUCCUUGGUUUUGAGUGAUGGAAGGAGAAGCAAUACAGCAUCUCAUCUGGAUAUAGAAGUUUACCCUGCAACUAACUCCCAGUGUUUUUGGAGCCCAUCUGUGACUCCAGUCCCAAAACCGUGUACCUCCCUGGGAACAGCAGAUGCUUCACAUCUAACAAAGUGCUUUUCUCCCUCCCCUUCCUUAUUUAUGGAGCCUUUCUCCUGGUCUGGAAAAAGCACUGAUGAUCUUUUGCCUAGUUAAAAAUAAAUAAGGUUCCAGAAAUGAAUAAUAAACAGGGCUAAUAAUAAUAUUAAAUAAGCAAGCUGCUCUUUUAGAGAAAAAAAGAAAAUCUAACUUCUUCUAGCUAUUUGCUUUAUUUUAGCAACAUGAUUUGCAGUAAUGCUUCCAGCAGAGAGAUUCUUAGUUACAACUCUUCUGCUCUGUAAUUUGUUGUGGUUUUGGACAAUCUAGGUACUGAUAACAAUGGCAGAAUAGGGAAAGUGGGACAAAUUUCUUCUUAUGUGUACACUAACACUUGCAUUAAUCUCUGUUUUAUGUGUGCCUGGAAGGAUUCGCAUCCCUCCCCUCCAAGUAUGGAUUCUGUGUGUCUGGGAUUUGUUAUGUUCCAGUCAAUGCAGCAUAAAUCCUUAAUAGAUAGGUCGUAAUGAUUCUUACUAUUCAGCUAGGGCAUGUAUCUGAUGACUGUAGCCAUUUACUAGUAGAAUUUGAAACAGGCUUCUACUGAAACAUGUAAUAAAGCAACCUUUGAAUUUUUAA